AUUAUUUCCCAGGUGCUGCAGAUGCUGCGGGUCCAGGGACCACACUUUGAGAACCACUAGUCUGGUGCAAGAUUCUUGGCAACAGACAAUAUCUUAUACAAGGGUCCUGUGCUUCCAGUAGGAGCACAACAGAAGCUGCUGUGCAUGAAAGUGUGUAGGAGUCUUGGGUUGCACCAAGUCCAAGGGAGUCUCUGGCCUGUGGUUCAGGGGACUUCUGAGAAUGCAUCAAACCUUGGCAUCUUUCCAACACAGCACCAUGAACCACCA
rnacentral:lncRNA from 1 species